rnacentral:rRNA from 1 species
UACAGAGGUCUCAAGCGUUGUUCGGAUUCAUUGGGCGUAAAGGGUGCGUAGGCGGCGCGGUAAGUCGGGUGUGAAAGCCCGAGGCUCAACCUCGGAAUUGCGCCUGAAACUACAUGGCUAGAGUACUGGAGAGGGUAGCGGAAUUCAUGGUGUAGCAGUGAAAUGCGUAGAUAUCAUGAGGAACACCAGAGGCGAAGGCGGCUACCUGGACAGUUACUGACGCUCAGGCACGAAAGCGUGGGGAGCAAAAGGG